AUGAAUACACAAAAGGAAUGAUUGUUGUGAGUCACUACAUUUUGGAGUGGUUUGUGAUAUAGCAGUAAAUAACUAGAACACAUUUGACACAGAUUUUUAAAUAAAUCUGAUUCCUGAUUAAAUGUGUGAUAGGAGCAGAAAAUUUAUCUUCUUUCAGCUUUUCUGUAGCUCCAUUGCCUCAAAAGUUUUACUAGACAAGGUAUUCUCAGGCCUUUAGAAGUUCUAGGUGUCUCAUGUUCUCCAUUCACGAUAAUAAAUUCAGUUCCUGAUUGGCCCUAAAAAUUGUGUAGAAAUGUUAAGGGAUUAUGAUUUAGCUGUAUAGUUACCUUUGGCUAUUAAACUGAUGUUCCUUGUAAUAUGAACUUAGCCAUACAUGUCUUUUUCUUAGAAUAAUAAUAUAAACAAUAUAAAUGCUAGAAAUGAUAUUG
rnacentral:lncRNA from 1 species